UACAGAGGGUGCAAGCGUUGUUCGGAAUUAUUGGGCGUAAAGGGCGCGUAGGCGGUUCGGCAAGUCUCUAGUGAAAUCUCUGGGCUCAACUCAGAGUCUGCUGGGGAAACUGCCGGGCUUGAGUGUGGGAGAGGAGAGUGGAAUUCCCGGUGUAGCGGUGAAAUGCGUAGAUAUCGGGAAGAACACCUGUGGCGAAAGCGGCUCUCUGGACCACAACUGACGCUGAGGCGCGAAAGCUAGGGGAGCAAACAGG
rnacentral:rRNA from 1 species